CCGAUGCCCAGCUCCGCGUCGGUCACCAGGAUGAUGGUGUGUUGUCUACCCAGUGGCAGCAUUGUGAUGUAGGGCAGCUCUGGGUACACGGGCACCUGUAAGUUGACUUUGCAGCACAAGAAGCAAGGGAUCCGCAGGUUACCGGAGGGGAGAAAACGUCUCUCUCCCUGCUUCAGCCCGCUCAGGGGGGCCUGCAACUCCGGAUGCGGCAGAGUGGGUGCAGUGGCUUCCAGACCUGGGGCAUGGAGCGGAGCGGCUGGGGAGCCCACGAUAGGACCGGCUGGCGCAGCGGGCUGGGCCCACACUCAGGCUCCCUGGAGUGGAUGCCCACGGCGCUGCUCCCAGCAGGCAGAUGGGCAGGAUGCAGGAUUCGAGCUUUCUGGUCCCUUGCCAGCAACAUUCCUGCCACAUUGAUAGAGACCUACAGUCCAAAAAGAGGGACGUGAGGAACCCUUCUGCUCUACUUCAUUCCUUGGGGGGCCGGUGGAAGCACACCAGGGAGUCAGACGGGAAACGAAGAGAAGCCCAGAAUCGUCGUGUGCAGGGUCAGGAGGCAGGCGAGGGCCUGGCCCUGGUCGGCCUGCAGGUGCUCGCCCGGGCUGCGUGUGGGUGCGGGAGGCCGGAGACAGACCGGACCCUCCACCCCAAGGAGUCUCAGGGCAACAGAUCGCUUGGUGAGGCACGACUGCUCCAGACCACCCAGCAGUGAAACUGGUAGGUAGUGAGCUCCCCAGCAGUGGAGGAUGAAUAACUUCCAGGCGGGCCUGCUGUAAAAAGGCCGGAGCAGAAGAUAGGACACUGAACCUAGUUUGCCCUCCAAGUUCCCCUCCCUUUAGGAGAUGGUGUUCUGGCUUUAGGACAGGAAAUAAUCAUUAAAUAUUUGCUCUGCCCGGCUCAGCAACGGAAGGGUAGCUGCCACCUGCCUGAGGGACAACCAUAGAGCGGCGCAGGUACCUGGGGGGGACAAGAGGGUUUUGAAGCCGAGCCAGGAACUGCUGGGGACCUCGCGCUGGGCUCGGCUGCAGAUCUGGGACUUCUACUGCUGUGCAGAAGCGACCGUGGGAUUGCCUGAUGCUCUCAAAGGGCUGCUUUUGAAUAAGAGUUUUCCCAUUGACUCAUUGUACUCUUCUUAAAAUUUCUCAGUAGGCGUGAAAUCUUCCAAAAUGA